rnacentral:rRNA from 1 species
AGCUCCAAUAGCGUAUAUUAAUGUUGUUGCAGUUAAAAAGCUCGUAGUUGGAUUCCUGGCCUGGGGUAGCCGGUCCGCCUUGCAAAAGGUGCGCACUGAGCGGCCUCGGCCAUCCUUGGGAAGAGCAGUCCUGGCAUUCAGUUGUCGGGGUUGGGAUUCCCGACGUUUACUGUGAAAAAAUCAGAGUGUUCAACGCAGGCUUACGCCUUGAAUACAUUAGCAUGGAAUAAUGAGAUAGGACCUUGGCGGUCUAUUUUGUUGGUUUGCACGCCGAGGUAAUGAUUAAAAGGGACGGUUGGGGUUCUUCGUAUUCAAUUGUCAGAGGUGAAAUUCUUGGAUUUAUGGAAGACGAACUGCUGCGAAAGCGUCGAACAAGGACGUUCUCAUUA